CACAAGAAUAGAGGGGAAAGAGGCAAGACUAUGAAGAAGAAGAAUGAGCUUGAAGAUUUACAUCCAUGGUGCCAAAUCGGAAGAGCAAUCGGAGACCCAACAAGUUACUUCAAAUUGAAUAAGGUAUUCAAGUACGAAGACUUAGUUGUCGUUACUCGAGUCGGUUGUCGCUCUGAUACGUAGCACUCUGGGGGGAACGACUUAUGUCAUUCAUGAUGUUGUUGUUUAAUUGUUUCAUUUUGGUUGGACAAAAUGAUAAGUUAACUAAAAAUAUUUUAUUGAAUACUUGUUUAAGUGAUUCCGCUGUGUUUUAAUAAAAUAAGUUAUUCUGUUUCAAA